GACGAACGCUGGCGGCGUGCUUAACACAUGCAAGUCGAACGGAAAGGCCCUGCUUUUGUGGGGUGCUCGAGUGGCGAACGGGUGAGUAACACGUGAGUAACCUGCCCUUGACUUUGGGAUAACUUCAGGAAACUGGGGCUAAUACCGGAUAGGAGAUCCUGCUGCAUGGUGGGGGUUGGAAAGUUUCGGCGGUUGGGGAUGGACUCGCGGCUUAUGAGCUUGUUGGUGGGGUAGUGGCUUACCAAGGCUGGGACGGGUAGCCGGCCUGAGAGGGUGACCGGCGACAUGGGGACUGAGAUACGGACCAGACUCCUACGGGAGGCAGCAGGGGGGAAUAUUGCACAACGGGCGGAAGUCUGAUGCAGCGACGCCGCGUUCGGAAUGACGGCCUUCGGGUUGAAAACCGCUUUCGCCUGUGACGAAGCGUGAGUGACGGUAAUGGGUAAAGAAGCACCGGCUAACUACGUG
rnacentral:rRNA from 1 species